rnacentral:rRNA from 1 species
CGCUCUUUGAAUAUUUCUUGACUGGAAAUUUAGAUUAUAAAGAGUCGGACCUGCCCAGUGACUGAAUUGUUAAACGGCCGCGGUACUCUGACCGUGCAAAGGUAGCAUAAUCAUUUGCCUUUUAAUUGGAGGCUUGUAUGAAUGGUUUGACGAAAACUAGACUGUCUCCCCUUAAAUAUAAAAAAAUUAAUUUCUAGGUGAAGAAGCCUAGUAUUUAGCUGAGGGACAAGAAGACCCCGUUGAGCUUUAGUAACCUAGUACAACAAUUAUUUUAAUAUAUUAAUACAUUAUGUAUUAUUUUAUAAACAUUAUUAUGUAAAUAUUAUGUACUAGAAAUCUUUAGUUGGGGCGACUGAGGAGUAUGAAAAGCUUCCUUUAACUAUAUAUUUUAAGGUAUUCAAAUUAAAAUCAAUAGAUCCAGUAUUUACUGAUCAAAGAAAAAAGUUACCACGGGGAUAACAGCGUAAUCUUUCUAGAGAGUUCUUAUCGAAGGAAGGGUUUGCGACCUCGAUGUUGGACUAAGGUAUCCUAGAGAUGCAGCAGUUUCUAAUGGUUAGUCUGUUCGACUAUUAAAACCUU